UACGGAGGGUGCAAGUGUUAUCCGGAAUCACUGGGCGUAAAGCGUCUGUAGGUGGUCAAAUAAGUCAACUGUUAAAUCUUGAGGCUCAACCUCAAAAUCGCAGUCGAAACUAUUAGACUAGAGUAUAGUAGGGGUAAAGGGAAUUUCCAGUGGAGCGGUGAAAUGCGUAGAUAUUGGAAAGAACACCGAUGGCGAAGGCACUUUACUGGGCUAUUACUAACACUCAGAGACGAAAGCUAGGGUAGCAAAUGGG
rnacentral:rRNA from 1 species